CUUUCUCUUUGUCGUCUGUCUGGGAGUUGUAGAACCAGAUAGUUUAAACUAGCCCCACUAAAUUCCAGGGAUUAUUCCAGUUUUUCUAAUACUUUGUCAAGGACAUUGGCUAAGCAUUGAAAUCACUUUGUAAAUAUAUGAACUUUAGGUCAUUGGAGCUAGGUAUUCUGUGCUUUUCUGUGAGCAGCUUUAUGUAUUUAUAAUUAUAAAAUGAAGAAUCACAAA